UGAGAGCUGCCUGAAUUGGAGGCGCAGGUC
rnacentral:piRNA from 1 species